rnacentral:rRNA from 1 species
AACGAACGCUGGCGGCAUGCCUAACACAUGCAAGUCGAACGGGAUCCUGGCUUCGGUCAGGUGAGAGUGGCGGACGGGUGAGUAACGCGUGGGAACCUGCCCAGUGGUGGGGGAUAACUGCGGGAAACUGCAGCUAAUACCGCAGGAGCCCGAGAGGGGAAAGAUUUAACGCCAUUGGAGGGGCCCGCGUUCGAUUAGGUAGUUGGUGAGGUAAUGGCUCACCAAGCCGACGAUCGAUAGCUGGUCUGGGAGGAUGAUCAGCCACACUGGGACUGAGAUACGGCCCAGACUCCUACGGGAGGCAGCAGUGGGGAAUAUUGGACAAUGGGGGCAACCCUGAUCCAGCAAUGCCGCGUGAGUGAUGAAGGCCUUCGGGUUGUAAAGCUCUUUUGCCAGGGACGAUGAUGACGGUACCUGGAGAAUAAGCCCCGGCUAACUUCGUGCCAGCAGCCGCGGUAAAAC